UACGUAGGGUGCAAGCGUUGUCCGGAAUUAUUGGGCGUAAAGGGCUCGUAGGCGGUCCAUCACGUCGGGAGUGAAAAGCUGGGGCUUAACCCCAGUCCUGCUUCCGAUACGGGUGGACUAGAGGUAGGCAGGGGAGAACGGAAUUCCUGGUGUAGCGGUGAAAUGCGCAGAUAUCAGGAGGAACACCAAUAGCGAAGGCAGCUCGCUGGGACGUUACUGACACUGAGGCGCGAAAGCGUGGGGAGCAAACAGG
rnacentral:rRNA from 1 species